AGUCCCGUGGUGUAGUGGUUAGCACUUCGUUCUUAUACCUUCACGAAAGUGGAAGAUAUGCGAAGGUCGUGGGUUCAAUCCCCACCGGGACUA